rnacentral:rRNA from 1 species
AAUAGAUACCCGGGUAGUCCACGCCGUAAACGAUGUCGACUUGGAGGUUGUUCCCUUGAGGAGUGGCUUCCGGAGCUAACGCGUUAAGUCGACCGCCUGGGGAGUACGGCCGCAAGGUUAAAACUCAAAUGAAUUGACGGGGGGCCCGCACAAGCGGUGGAGCAUGUGGUUUAAUUCGAUGCAACGCGAAGAACCUUACCUACUCUUGACAUCCAGAGAACUUAGCAGAGAUGCUUUGGUGCCUUCGGGAACUCUGAGACAGGUGCUGCAUGGCUGUCGUCAGCUCGUGUUGUGAAAUGUUGGGUUAAGUCCCGCAACGAGCGCAACCCUUAUCCUUUGUUGCCAGCGGUCCGGUCGGGAACUCAAAGGAGACUGCCAGUGAUAAACUGGAGGAAGGUGGGGAUGACGUCAAGUCAUCAUGGCCCUUACGAGUAGGGCUACACACGUGCUACAAUGGCGUAUACAAAGAGAAGCGACCUCGCGAGAGCAAGCGGACCUCAUAAAGUACGUCGUAGUCCGGAUUGGAGU